rnacentral:tRNA from 1 species
AGCUCAGUUGGUAGUAGCACAUGACUGUUAAUCAAUGGGUCACUGGUUCGAGCCCAGUACGGG